rnacentral:tRNA from 1 species
GGAGGUGUCGCCUAGUGGCCUAUGGCGCCCGCCUGCUAAGCGGGUUGAGGGUAAACCCCUCUCGCGGGUUCAAAUCCCGCCACCUCCGCCA